rnacentral:lncRNA from 1 species
ACCACCAAUUUAAUACCCAGAUAAAGCAGUGAAUGAAUUGCAAGACUUACCUCACCUCAUAGCAACAAAAGCAUCUGCAAUGUUAGAUCAGAAUUCAUAUCGAUAGUCCUAAAUAUGAUUUCUAAUUAACAUGCAAUCACUCAAUUUUUUGUUUUUACUUAUUCAAUGAGAAUCAUGCAAUGCAUACUACUAAUCUAACAUAAAAUGAUAUGGCAUGGCAAUAUGACCUAAACUAUAUGACAUAAACAUGCAGUCUAUCAUGAAGAAAAUUACCUCCAAC